CUUCAUCAUCUUCAUCGAUCCUGACUAGUUCUGUGUUCCUAUUAAGAAAAAGCAUACAAAGAACAUCAUGCUCCUAGCACCGUGUUUGACAGAGGAAAAGUGUGUUCAGGAUGAUGCUAAGUGUUAGUCUUCCUCAAAGGGGAAUUUUACAUAUUGUCCUACUUAAGACAUGGAUCUUUGACGAUGCUUUGCUGAUUAACGCUCUCCUUGCCAGAGCUGUCAGUUUAGGUGAAGGAUUCCAAUUGUUGACUAAAGUUCUUAACAGAUAAGCUGUACUUACACAGAGAUUAUUUGACACGGGUGAAAUUUAUUUCCAAGUAUCAAAGUAAAAGAGGCUGAAUAUAAACACA